rnacentral:lncRNA from 1 species
AUUAAUUAAACAGAAGAGAAUUGCCCGAGUUCUUUUUGGCGAAUAAGAAUUGCCAGUUAAUUAACGAAAAAUCGGGCGAAAACAUAUACAAACCGAGACCGAUACAAUUACAUUAUAUAUUAAUAUAUAUGACCCACCGUACAAAUUCACCAACAUAACUAAGGUAUAGAUAUAAAUGAAGAACAUGCAUGAACAAAUGAAAUACUACUUGUCUACACGACCACUUUCACAAGCUAUACAAUCCAUUACCCAUAUGUAGGUAUAGAGGUUUCUUGGACCACGAAAUAUCGUACUUGAUAGAUAACUAGGACAAACUGAUAUUUAUUCACAUGAUUCUUCUUCCGCACGCAGACCAUUCACCCCCUAGAUAUGCCCUUGCCUGAAAAGUCAAAUAACGAAAUUCUUAAUUAGAAUGGAUGCACGUCAGUAUUUUCGCGUCAUAUCAUGCAAAACAUGCGCUUGACUUACCUUUUUGUGAGGUCGUUUUACUCUGCUUUGUAUGGCGUUCUCGAUGAGUUGUUGCCGUUGCUGGGCUCAGGGGUUGUUCCUGUCGACGAUGCUUUAGCUGCUUUACGGAGCGCACGAAUGCAUGCAAAAGGCGUCAAGAAAGUGCAAGAAAGCAUCAGAGACCACAACCGUCGAAUCUAUAGAAAGGUAGUACCAGAAAGGUUCGGAUCUGAUAAAGGGAGAGCUAUGCAUGCAUGCACGUAUCACGUAUGCUCAGGUGUUGAACGAUCGGAUGAGCGACACUCACUAACCUCUGCUAGGCGACGGCGCCUUUUGGCUAGCGUCCGGCGGAGCAUAUGGUCGAUCAUUCGACUGGUCGGAAGACCCUCGCAUUGCAGGCACAAAUCCACUUUGUGCUGCAUAUAUAUGUAUGUAUGGAGAAUACAUUAGAACAUCAGAGUUGAUGAUUUGCUUACUCCGACCGUGCAUGUGCAUGCAAUGGACGAAUUGGAUAUCUGGAGAAGGCUGGCUCACCCUUCGCCUCCAUGCUCAGUCCUGGAGGCCUUCGUGUCUGCUUGUGUUCUAUUCAGCUUGCUAGCUUUGGAAGAGUUUGUUGCUC